rnacentral:snRNA from 1 species
GGAUGUGAGGGCGAUCUGGCUGCGACAUCUGUCACCUCAUUGAUCUCCAGAGUUAAUUCUGCCAAUCUGGCCGACUAGGCGGGUGUCCCUUUUCCUCCCUCACCGCUCCAUGUGCACGUGCAGCCCUCCUGCAAAUGCUGAAGUUGUCAAAGAGGACGACUACCCCAACAGAGGAGGCAAGUGGCUGUGCCCUCCUUUUAGAACCUCCAAACAGGUUCUCAAGGUCAAAUAGUCACUAUGUGGAUUCUAGCAAUAUAUUGUGGCCAUAGAAGAAGCCCUUGGAAUAUCUAUCUU